rnacentral:tRNA from 1 species
UAUAGCUUAGUGUUAUACUAGCAUAUUGUAUUUUGAUUACAAAGGAAUUAGAUUUAGCUGUAA